rnacentral:rRNA from 1 species
GCUAUCGGAUUGAUACUAAGCCAUGCGAGUCAUUGUAGCAAUACAAGGCAUACGGCUCAGUAACGCGUAGUCAACCUAACCUAUGGACGGGAAUAACCUCGGGAAACUGAGAAUAAUGCCCGAUAGAACAUUAUGCCUGGAAUGGUUUAUGUUCCAAAUGAUUUAUCGCCGUAGGAUGGGACUGCGGCCUAUCAGUUUGUUGGUGAGGUAAUGGCCCACCAAGACUAUUACAGGUACGGGCUCUGAGAGGAGUAGCCCGGAGAUGGGUACUGAGACACGGACCCAGGCCCUAUGGGGCGCAGCAGGCGAGAAAACUUUGCAAUGUGCGAAAGCACGACAAGGUUAAUCCGAGUGGUUUCUGCUAAAGGAACCUUUUGUCAGUCCUAGAAACACUGAUGAAUAAGGGGUGGGCAAGUUCUGGUGUCAGCCGCCGCGGUAAAACCAGCACCUCAAGUGGUCAGGAUGAUUAUUGGGCCUAAAGCAUCCGUAGCCGGCUCUGUAAGUUUUCGGUUAAAUCUGUACGCUCAACGUACAGGCUGCCGGGAAUACUGCAAAGCUAGGGAGUGGGAGAGGUAGACGGUACUCGGUAGGAAGGGGUAAAAUCCUUUGAUCUAUUGAUGACCACCUGUGGCGAAGGCGGUCUACCAGAACACGUCCGACGGUGAGGGAUGAAAGCUGGGGGAGCAAACCGGAUUAGAUACCCGGGUAGUCCCAGCUGUAAACCAUGCAAACUCAGUGAUGCAUUGGCUUGUGGCCAAUGCAGCGCUGCAGGGAAGCCGUUAAGUUUGCCGCCUGGGAAGUACGUACGCAAGUAUGAAACUUAAAGGAAUUGGCGGGGGAGCACCAC